rnacentral:misc_RNA from 1 species
GAUGAAGAACGCAGCGAAAAGCGAUAAGUAAUGUGAAUUCCAGAAUUCAGUGAAUCAUCGAAUCUUUGAACGCACCUUGCGCUCCUUGGUAUUCCGAGGAGCAUGCCUGUUUGGGUGUCAUUAAUAUAUCAACCUUUUUGGGUUGGAUGUGGGUUUGCUGGCCUUUUGAGGUCAGCUCCCCUUAAAUGCAUUAGCAGACAACAUUUUGCCAACUGUUCAUUGGUGUGAUAAUUAUCUACGCUAUUGACGUGAAGCAAAGGUUCAGCUUCUAAUGGUCCAUUGACUUGGACAACUCUUAUUUAUUAAUUUGACCUCAAAUCAGGUAGGACUACCCGCUGAACUUAAGCAUAUCAAUAAGCGGAGGA